GACGAACGCUGGCGGCGUGCUUAACACAUGCAAGUCGAGCGGUAAGGCCCUUUCGGGGGUACGACGAGCGGCGAACGGGUAGGAGUAACAACGUGGGUGGACCUCGCCCUCCAGCUCUGGGAGUAAGCCUGGGAAACCGGGGUACCUAAUACUGGAUAUGACUCCAUGACGCAUGUUGUGGGGUGGGAAAGCCUUGUGCGGCUGAGGA
rnacentral:rRNA from 1 species